rnacentral:rRNA from 1 species
CUUUUACAAUGAAGAGUUUGAUCCUGGCUCAGGAUGAACGCUAGCUACAGGCUUAACACAUGCAAGUCGAGGGGCAGCAUUUUAGUUUGCUUGCAAACUGAAGAUGGCGACCGGCGCACGGGUGAGUAACACGUAUCCAACCUGCCGAUAACUCCGGGAUAGCCUUUCGAAAGAAAGAUUAAUACCGGAUAGUAUACGAAUAUCGCAUGAUAUUUUUAUUAAAGAAUUUCGGUUAUCGAUGGGGAUGCGUUCCAUUAGUUUGUUGGCGGGGUAACGGCCCACCAAGACUACGAUGGAUAGGGGUUCUGAGAGGAAGGUCCCCCACAUUGGAACUGAGACACGGUCCAAACUCCUACGGGAGGCAGCAGUGAGGAAUAUUGGUCAAUGGGCGCGAGCCUGAACCAGCCAAGUAGCGUGAAGGAUGAAGGCUCUAUGGGUCGUAAACUUCUUUUAUAUGGGAAUAAAGUUUUCCACGUGUGGAAUUUUGUAUGUACCAUAUGAAUAAGGAUCGGCUAACUCCGUGCCAGCAGCCGCGGUAAUACGGAGGAUCCGAGCGUUAUCCGGAUUUAUUGGGUUUAAAGGGAGCGUAGGUGGAUUGUUAAGUCAGUUGUGAAAGUUUGCGGCUCAACCGUAAAAUUGCAGUUGAAACUGGCAGUCUUGAGUACAGUAGAGGUGGGCGGAAUUCGUGGUGUAGCGGUGAAAUGCUUAGAUAUCACGAAGAACUCCGAUUGCGAAGGCAGCUCACUAGACUGUCACUGACACUGAUGCUCGAAAGUGUGGGUAUCAAACAGGAUUAGAUACCCUGGUAGUCCACACAGUAAACGAUGAAUACUCGCUGUUUGCGAUAUACAGUAAGCGGCCAAGCGAAAGCAUUAAGUAUUCCACCUGGGGAGUACGCCGGCAACGGUGAAACUCAAAGGAAUUGACGGGGGCCCGCACAAGCGGAGGAACAUGUGGUUUAAUUCGAUGAUACGCGAGGAACCUUACCCGGGCUUAAAUUGCAACAGAAUAUAUUGGAAACAGUAUAGCCGUAAGGCUGUUGUGAAGGUGCUGCAUGGUUGUCGUCAGCUCGUGCCGUGAGGUGUCGGCUUAAGUGCCAUAACGAGCGCAACCCUUAUCUUUAGUUACUAACAGGUGAUGCUGAGGACUCUAGAGAGACUGCCGUCGUAAGAUGUGAGGAAGGUGGGGAUGACGUCAAAUCAGCACGGCCCUUACGUCCGGGGCUACACACGUGUUACAAUGGGGGGUACAGAAGGCGGCUACCUGGUGACAGGAUGCUAAUCCCAAAAACCUCUCUCAGUUCGGAUCGAAGUCUGCAACCCGACUUCGUGAAGCUGGAUUCGCUAGUAAUCGCGCAUCAGCCAUGGCGCGGUGAAUACGUUCCCGGGCCUUGUACACACCGCCCGUCAAGCCAUGAAAGCCGGGGGUACCUGAAGUACGUAACCGCAAGGAGCGUCCUAGGGUAAAACUGGUAAUUGGGGCUAAGUCGUAACAAGGUAGCCGUACCGGAAGGUGCGGCUGGAACACCUCCUUUCU